GCUGGUGUGGCUCAGUGGGUAGAGCGCCGGGCUGUGGGCCGAAGGGUCUCCCGGGUUCGAUUCCCGGUCAAGGGCA
rfam:Myotis brandtii contig229297, whole genome shotgun sequence.